rnacentral:lncRNA from 1 species
UGGAAAUGCAGAAAUCACCCAUCUUCUGAGUCGCUCACGCUGGGAGCUGUAGACCGGAGCUGUUCCUAUUCGGCCAUCUUGGCUCCUCCCCUGACAUGAAGAGCACAAAAUUUUAAUACUCUUGCAGACAAUUCUGUUGAAUCUGCAUGAUUAUGGCAGAAUUUGUUACAAGACAAAAACUGAAAAAAACUUCCAAGUUUACAAAUAUUUUGGAAAUGUAAGGAGAUAGAUAAGAUUCGAAAGUUACAAUUUCUAUUGAAAACGUCAGUGCUCUAAAUUAUGGCACACAAGAUUUGAAUGAAUCAUAGAGUAGCCAAAUCAUGUAUCCAGAUCUUCUGGAAGACCUGUGGCAGUCUAUUGAAGAAGUGAGCAGUAGCUCCUAGGACGUCCGAAUCUGAUGUAAUUUUAAACCACCAAACGGAAAUCCCGCUGUGUCUAGAAUUUAUUCCUUCUGCUGGGUUCUUGGUCUCGUUGACUUAAAGAAUGAAGCCGCGGACCUGGCAGUGAGUGUUACAGCUCUUAAAAGUGCUGCGUCCAGAAUUGUCUGCUCCUCCCAUGGGUUCAUGGUCUUGCUGACUUCAGGAAUGAGGCCUCAGAAC